ACCCGCUGAACUUAAGCAUAUCAAUAAGCGGAGGAAAAGAAACUAACAAGGAUUCCCCUAGUAACUGCGAGUGAAGCGGGAAAAGCUCAAAUUUAAAAUCUGGCAUCCUCCGGGUGUCCGAGUUGUAUUCUGGAGAAGCGUCUUCCGCGUUGGACCGUGUAAAAGUCUCUUGGAACAGAGCAUCAUAGAGGGUGAGAAUCCCGUCUUUGACACGGACUACCAGGGCUUUGUGAUGCGCUCUCGACGAGUCGCGUUGUUUGGGAAUGCAGCGCUAAAUGGGUGGUAAAUUCCAUCUAAAGCUAAAUAUUGGCGAGAGACCGAUAGCGAACAAGUACCGUGAGGGAAAGAUGAAAAGCACUUUGGAAAGAGAGUUAAACAGUACGUGAAAUUGUUGAAAGGGAAACGCUUGAAGUCAGUCGCGUUGCCGGGACUCAGCCUUGCUUUUGCUUGGUGUAUUUCUUGUCAACGGGCCAGCAUCAAUUUCGGCUGUUGGAUAAAGUUGGGGGGAAUGUGGCAUCUUCGGGUGUGUUAUAGCCUCUCUUCGCAUACAACAGCUGGGAUUGAGGACCGCAGCACGCCUUUAUGGCCGGGGUUCGCCCACGUACGUGCUUAGGAUGCUGGCGUAAUGGCUUU
rnacentral:rRNA from 1 species